CCGACCGCCCGGGCCGCAGGAGGCGUAGCGCCGGGUGCCCGCCGAGAGGGUCUCCGCGGAAGGGGAGGCGCCGCCGCUCCGGGGUUUGAGCAGCUGGGAGAGUGUGAGGCACUUGAUUCUUCUCCACCACUCCAGGCUGCUUACCUGGGUCACACUGAGAAACUCUGGAAGGCUCCGUCUUCUCCAGGAUGUUCAUCAGAACUCACUGGACUGAAUGUCUGUCUCUGUGCCCCUGUCUUCCACUGCACUGUGACCUUCUCUACAGGAUGGGCCCAGGAAAGAAAAACAAGUUUAAGGAACUGGAGAGGAACCCCAGCACUUGCUUAGCAUCAAAGCCGUGGCCAACACAGCAGUGAAGAAAAGUCCGUGCUCGUACCCACGUAUUCACCCUGGCUGAUGACAGCGUUGGAGCAGGCAAGGAGAUGGGAAGCUAAGAAACAGAUGCGAGGAGGAGAGACAAGCAGCGCGGAAUUCCUGACAAGGGUAACCCUUGGAUUUAGAAGAGGGACUGAGUCAUGGAAGAAUCUCAAAUGGUGAGUAACUUGGUGGGAAAAUAAAAAUGGAG